GUGGGGAAUCUUGCGCAAUGGGCGAAAGCCUGACGCAGCCAUGCCGCGUGGAUGAUGAAGGUCUUAGGAUUGUAAAAUCCUUUCACCGGUGAAGAUAAUGACUGUAGCCGGAGAAGAAGCCCCGGCUAACUUCGUGCCAGCAGCCGCGGUAAUACGAAGGGGGCUAGCGUUGCUCGGAAUUACUGGGCGUAAAGGGAGCGUAGGCGGACAUUUAAGUCAGGGGUGAAAUCCCGAGGCUCAACCUCGGAACUGCCUUGGAUACUGGGUGUCUUGAGUGUGAGAGAGGUGAGUGGAACUCCGAGUGUAGAGGUGAAAUUCGUAGAUAUUCGGAAGAACACCAGUGGCGAAGGCGACUCACUGGCUCAUUACUGACGCUGAGGCUCGAAAGCGUGGGGAGCAAACAGGAUUAGAAACCCCUGUAGUCC
rnacentral:rRNA from 1 species